UACGAAGGGGGGCUAGCGUUGCUCGGAAUCACUGGGCGUAAAGGGUGCGUAGGCGGGUCUUUAAGUCAGGGGUGAAAUCCUGGAGCUCAACUCCAGAACUGCCUUCGAUACUGGCGAUCUCGAGUUCGGGAGAGGUGAGUGGAACUGCGAGUGUAGAGGUGAAAUUCGUAGAUAUUCGCAAGAACACCAGUGGCGAAGGCGGCUCACUGGCCCGAUACUGACGCUGAGGUGCGAAAGCGUGGGGAGCAAACAGG
rnacentral:rRNA from 1 species